UACCCUUGACAAUGUACGGAAGUUCUGCUGAGAGGUGGAUGUGCCUGAAAGGGAACCGUAACA
rnacentral:rRNA from 1 species